AUUCCAGCUCCAAUAGCGUAUAUUAAUGUUGUUGCAGUUAAAAAGCUCGUAGUUGGAUUUCUGGUGGGAGCGGCCGGUCCGCCGUAAGGUGUGUACUUGGUUGUCUCCUGUCAUCCUUGUGGGAACUGCUCUGGCAUUAAGUUGUCGGGGUUAGGGAACACAUCGUUUACUGUGAAAAAAUUAGAGUGUUUAAAGCAGGCUUAUGCCGUUGAAUACAUUAGCAUGGAAUAAUAAGAUAGGACUUUGGCGUCUAUUUUGUUGGUUUCUAGGACCGAAGUAAUGAUUAAUAAGAACAGUUGGGGGCAUUCAUAUUCCAUUGUCAGAGGUGAAAUUCUUGGAUUAACGGAAGAUGAACUUCUGCGAAAGCAUCUGCCAAGGAUGUUUUCAUCG
rnacentral:rRNA from 1 species